rnacentral:rRNA from 1 species
UACGUAGGGGUGACACGUUGUCCGGAAUUAUUGGGCGUAAAGAGCUCGUAGGCGGUUUGUUGCGUCGGCUGUGAAAUCCCGAGGCUCAACCUCGGGUCUGCAGUCGAUACGAGCAAACUAGAGUGUUGCAGGGGAGACUGGAAUUCCUGGUGUAGCGGUGAAAUGCGCAGAUAUCAGGAGGAACACCGGUGGCGGAAGGCGGGUCU